UGGGGAAUAUUGGACAAUGGGGGAAACCCUGAUCCAGCAAUGCCGCGUGGGUGAUGAAGGCCUUCGGGUUGUAAAGCCCUUUUGGCGGGGACGAUGAUGACGGUACCCGCAGAAUAAGCCCCGGCUAACUUCGUGCCAGCAGCCGCGGUAAUACGAAGGGGGCUAGCGUUGUUCGGAAUUACUGGGCGUAAAGGGCGCGUAGGCGGUCGUGCAAGUCAGAUGUGAAAGCCCUGGGCUCAACCCAGGAUGUGCAUUUGAUACUGCAUGGCUAGAGUGUCGGAGAGGAUGGUGGAAUUCCCAGUGUAGAGGUGAAAUUCGUAGAUAUUGGGAAGAACACCGGUGGCGAAGGCGACCAUCUGGACGACAACUGACGCUGAGGCGCGAAAGCGUGGGGAGCAAACA
rnacentral:rRNA from 1 species